rnacentral:rRNA from 1 species
UACGGAGGGUGCGAGCGUUGUCCGGAAUCACUGGGCCUAAAGGGCGCGUAGGCGGCUCGGUAAGUAGGGGGUGAAAUCCUGCGGCUUAACCGCAGGGCUGCCUUCUAAACUGUCGAGCUCGAGCACGGUAGAGGCAGAUGGAAUUCCCGGUGUAGCGGUGGAAUGCGUAGAGAUCGGGAAGAACAUCAGUGGCGAAGGCGGUCUGCUGGGCCGUUGCUGACGCUGAGGCGCGACAGCGUGGGGAGCAAACAGG